rnacentral:rRNA from 1 species
AGGACGAACGCUGGCGGCGUGCUUAACACAUGCAAGUCGAGCGGAAAGGCCCUUCGGGGUACUCGAGCGGCGAACGGGUGAGUAACACGUGAGUAAUCUGCCCCUAGCUCUGGGAUAGCUCCGGGAAACCGGGAUUAAUACCAGAUACGACCACUUUAGACAUCUGUUGUGGUGGAAAGAAUUUUGGCUAGGGAUGAGCUCGCGGCCUAUCAGCUUGUUGGUGAGGUAACGGCUCACCAAGGCGACGACGGGUAGCCGGCCUGAGAGGGCGACCGGCCACACUGGGACUGAGACACGGCCCAGACUCCUACGGGAGGCAGCAGUGGGGAAUAUUGCGCAAUGGGCGAAAGCCUGACGCAGCGACGCCGCGUGGGGGAUGAAGGCCUUCGGGUUGUAAACCCCUUUCAGCAGGGACGAAGCGAAAGGUGACGGUACCGUGCAGAAGAAGCGCCGGCUAACUACGUGCCAGCAGCCGC